UGUUGUCGUCUUUACUUAUGCAACAUGGAUGGUUCUGUAUUAAAGUUCAUAGUUCUUGUCCUUGGAACAUUUACAUGUUCAUAUUGUCGUACAGCAGCUUCUUUGCUUUAGUUCUUGAAGUCUCAACUUGUGGUAUAUUUUGGCCCCAAUUUGUACGAUUUCAUGGUAUGCAAUAGGUUGAAAGCUUGAUACGCUCUUUGUCAAAAUUUUAUAGCUUUUUGAUGGCUAAACAUGCAUGAAUUAUGAAGUCUAGGAUAUGAGAGGGCUGUUUCCCUUGGUAUUAACGACUUAGAACCUUUUCUGUCAUUGACCUUGAGGCCCUCAGCCACUUCUUUAAGAAGGAAAGGGGAUUCCUUAUUUAUAACUAGCAUAAUCUCUUUCUCUGUGUGUGUGUGUUUGUGUGUGAAAUAUUAUUAUUAAACA